rnacentral:lncRNA from 1 species
ACCUUAUAACCAGCACCUGCUCCUUAUACAGGCCACCUUCAGAAGCCAGUUUCUUUGACCUAGGACCAGAGAUGUUGGCAUGGCGACACGACACCGAGUUGGACCUCUGACGUUACACCAAAGAAGAAGUGUUUACUUUGUACAUACACAUGCACAGGUAAGUCGAGGUAAGAUCAAAGCUCAAUUGGAUGAUUUAAUUGGACUUCUGUCCAUUACGGACUACAGAGGGGUGACACAGCUCAAGGAAGAACAUUUAUGAUCAUUGCUUUAUCAUUUCCUUGAAGUAAUAAUCACCAUAUUAAUGCCUUAGCGUCUCAGUCUGAUUGCUUCCCCAAGAAAAAAUUAUCAUAAAUGUUCUUCCUUGAGCUGCGUCACCCCGCUACAGUCGGUGAUGGACUCAUCCGAGUUCUGCCUACAAACAAGCAGCUGCUGGAAGAGAGUGGGUGAGUUGUGUUUAGUCUCUUUACUAAAAAAAUCAGACAAAGCUAAAAAGAUGUUUGGUGGCUAGUACUGUGGCUGGGACCCUGUUUGUACUGUUGAUGAAGUUAGGUGCUGUUCUGAGCAUUAUUUGUGGUUAUAGAGUGGCGUUUUGGUUGAGGCUUGUUUAUGGCUCCUUAGACCGUUGUGUAUUGCAAUUGUGCGGCCAUUACUAAAGUUGGUAUAACUAGAAAAGCAAGCAGUCUGUAACAUUAAUCUCUCGACGGGGUGUCUAACUCAGUGUUACGGUGUGUUUGACCCUAACUUAAUUUUACGCCAGAAUAUCCCUUUAAUUAAAAGCUAACUUUCCUGAAACAGUUGUUAAAUAACUCAGUAUAGACGCUGUGCAGUCUAGAUAGUCCAGGUGUGUGUGUCUGUUCUUGUGUGCAUCAUCCUGUCUGUUUUGAUUUGUACACAGCUCUGACCUCCAUCAAUCACUGUUAAGCCUGCCAGUUUGGGUUGAAUGGCCGGAACAGAGUAGUGCCUCAGCCCAGUUGUGUGGUACAGUGGCUAACAACACACAAAUGGACACACACAGGCACACACCAACACACACUUGUAGUAUAUCAACAAGCAUAUGGCCUCACAGAGACCAACAGCAGAGCCAUAAAUCAGCCCGCUUUCACACUCCUGAAGGACAAAGAGGAUAAAAUAAAAUCCUUCACUCAUAUUUUUCCACCACUUGUCACGUUCUGUGUUGUGUAAGAAACAUAAAUUUGUUUACUCGUUCUGGCUGAUUUACUGAGCCUCACAACAUAACAUCACAUGAAUCAUUUUCAUCUUUUUAUUCCCCCCGCGGUGGCUGCUGCUGACAGCUCUGUGGGUACAAAGAGGGGAGGUGUUUGCCGUGUUGGCUUUCUGCUGUUGAUGAGACAGAACUGCAGAAGGAUUUAGUAACAAUGUGUCCUAUUGUGUGGCAUCACCAGGGAGGAGGAUCCUGACUCUGGAGGUGGGGGUCUGAAUCGAGCAACGGAGGCAGUCCAAUGAGACUGCACUGCUGUAUGCAGCGGAAAAUAUCAACCUUGAAUGCUUUGUUCAAGGCGGUGUUGGAUUCCUUGGAGAGAAUUAACACCUGAACAGAUUGAGCUGGACAUGAUGCUUGUAUCAUACUGCAUUUUCUAAAAAUGUAUAAACUAACUUGUUAUUGAAUGUUUCUGUAAAAAGAAAAUAACCUUCUGGAGGGAUUAACUUUCCCUGUCCUUGGAUUUCUUACCACAAAAGUUAAAUUUUUAAUCACGAUUGCGUGUCUCUAUUUUUAACAGACAGUAUCUGACUGGUGUUGCUGUUGUUUCAUUCAAACUAGGAUGUGAAAAUCUCAAAGGGAUAAUUCUAUUAACACAAAAUAGUGGAUAUACAAACAGCUAAAAUGUUCUUCUUUGCAACAACCACGUUGUAUCAUCCUGUUUUGCAUUGCCAGCUGCCGGCUUGCCACAAAAGAGCUGUGGGUGGACGUGGUAUAAUGUUGCAGUUAUGUAUUUCAGAGAAAAAUAUCAGACCAGAAUUUAUCAAGUUUGGGACAUGACCAGAAUUGGGAGUAAAAUGAGUGUAACCUGGUGCAAUCAGGAGUAGUGAAG